AGGACGAACGCUGGCGGCGUGCCUAAUACAUGCAAGUCGAACGAACUCUGGUAUUGAUUGGUGCUUGCAUCAUGAUUUACAUUUGAGUGAGUGGCGAACUGGUGAGUAACACGUGGGAAACCUGCCCAGAAGCGGGGGAUAACACCUGGAAACAGAUGCUAAUACCGCAUAACAACUUGGACCGCAUGGUCCGAGUUUGAAAGAUGGCUUCGGCUAUCACUUUUGGAUGGUCCCGCGGCGUAUUAGCUAGAUGGUGGGGUAACGGCUCACCAUGGCAAUGAUACGUAGCCGGCCUGAGAGGGUAAUCGGCCACAUUGGGACUGAGACACGGCCCAAACUCCUACGGGAGGCAGCAGUAGGGAAUCUUCCACAAUGGACGAAAGUCUGAUGGAGCAACGCCGCGUGAGUGAAGAAGGGUUUCGGCUCGUAAAACUCUGUUGUUAAAGAAGAACAUAUCUGAGAGUAACUGUUCAGGUAUUGACGGUAUUUAACCAGAAAGCCACGGCUAACUACGUGCCAGCAGCCGCGGUAAUACGUAGGUGGCAAGCGUUGUCCGGAUUUAUUGGGCGUAAAGCGAGCGCAGGCGGUUUUUUAAGUCUGAUGUGAAAGCCUUCGGCUCAACCGAAGAAGUGCAUCGGAAACUGGGAAACUUGAGUGCAGAAGAGGACAGUGGAACUCCAUGUGUAGCGGUGAAAUGCGUAGAUAUAUGGAAGAACACCAGUGGCGAAGGCGGCUGUCUGGUCUGUAACUGACGCUGAGGCUCGAAAGUAUGGGUAGCAAACAGGAUUAGAUACCCUGGUAGUCCAUACCGUAAACGAUGAAUGCUAAGUGUUGGAGGGUUUCCGCCCUUCAGUGCUGCAGCUAACGCAUUAAGCAUUCCGCCUGGGGAGUACGGCCGCAAGGCUGAAACUCAAAGGAAUUGACGGGGGCCCGCACAAGCGGUGGAGCAUGUGGUUUAAUUCGAAGCUACGCGAAGAACCUUACCAGGUCUUGACAUACUAUGCAAAUCUAAGAGAUUAGACGUUCCCUUCGGGGACUUGGAUACAGGUGGUGCAUGGUUGUCGUCAGCUCGUGUCGUGAGAUGUUGGGUUAAGUCCCGCAACGAGCGCAACCCUUAUUAUCAGUUGCCAGCAUUAAGUUGGGCACUCUGGUGAGACUGCCGGUGACAAACCGGAGGAAGGUGGGGAUGACGUCAAAUCAUCAUGCCCCUUAUGACCUGGGCUACACACGUGCUACAAUGGAUGGUACAACGAGUUGCGAACUCGCGAGAGUAAGCUAAUCUCUUAAAGCCAUUCUCAGUUCGGAUUGUAGGCUGCAACUCGCCUACAUGAAGUCGGAAUCGCUAGUAAUCGCGGAUCAGCAUGCCGCGGUGAAUACGUUCCCGGGCCUUGUACACACCGCCCGUCACACCAUGAGAGUUUGUAACACCCAAAGUCGGUGGGGUAACCUUUUAGGAACCAGCCGCCUAAGGUGGGACAGAUGAUU
rnacentral:rRNA from 1 species